UGGGGAAUUUUGGACAAUGGGCGCAAGCCUGAUCCAGCAAUGCCGCGUGCAGGAUGAAGGCCUUCGGGUUGUAAACUGCUUUUGUACGGAGCGAAAAGGUCUGCCCUAAUACGGUGGGCUCAUGACGGUACCGUAAGAAUAAGCACCGGCUAACUACGUGCCAGCAGCCGCGGUAAUACGUAGGGUGCGAGCGUUAAUCGGAAUUACUGGGCGUAAAGCGUGCGCAGGCGGUUAUAUAAGACAGGUGUGAAAUCCCCGGGCUCAACCUGGGACCUGCAUAUGUGACUGUAUAGCUAGAGUACGGUAGAGGGGGAUGGAAUUCCGCGUGUAGCAGUGAAAUGCGUAGAUAUGCGGAGGAACACCGAUGGCGAAGGCAAUCCCCUGGACCUGUACUGACGCUCAUGCACGAAAGCGUGGGGAGCAAACA
rnacentral:rRNA from 1 species